rnacentral:rRNA from 1 species
GUAGGGUCCGAGCGUUGUCCGGAAUUAUUGGGCGUAAAGAGCUCGUAGGCGGCCUGUCGCGUCUGCUGUGAAAGUCCGGGGCUUAACUUCGGGUGUGCAGUGGAUACGGGCAGGCUUGAGGUAGGUAGGGGAGACUGGAAUUCCUGGUGUAGCGGUGAAAUGCGCAGAUAUCAGGAGGAACACCGGUGGCGAAGGCGGGUCUCUGGGCCUUACCUGACGCUGAGGAGCGAAAGCGUGGGGAGCGAACAGGAUUAGAUACCCUGGUAGUCCACGCCGUAAACGUUGGGCGCUAGGUGUGGGGACUUUCCACGGUUUCCGUGCCGUAGCUAACGCAUUAAGCGCCCCGCCUGGGGAGUACGGCCGCAAGGCUA